rnacentral:rRNA from 1 species
UACGAACCGUGCGAACGUUGUUCGGAUUCACUGGGCUUAAAGGGCGCGUAGGCGGGCGGUCAAGUCGGGGGUGAAAUCUUUCCGCUUAACGGGAAGCGUGCCUCCGAUACUGAUCGCCUCGAGGGAGGUAGGGGCAUGUGGAACUUCCGGUGGAGCGGUGAAAUGCGUAGAUAUCGGAAGGAACGCCGGUGGCGAAAGCGACGUGCUGGACCUCUUCUGACGCUGAGGCGCGAAAGCUAGGGGAGCAAACGGG